rnacentral:rRNA from 1 species
CCCUUAGAUGUUCUGGGCCGCACGCGCGCUACACUGACGGAGCCAGCGAGUACAUCACCUUAGCCGAAAGGUUUGGGUAAUCUUGUUAAACUCCGUCGUGCUGGGGAUAGAGCAUUGCAAUUAUUGCUCUUCAACGAGGAAUGCCUAGUAAGCGCAAGUCAUCAGCUUGCGUUGACUACGUCCCUGCCCUUUGUACACACCGCCCGUCGCUACUACCGAUUGAAUGGCUCAGUGAGGCUUUGGGACUGGCUCAGGGAGGUCGGCAACGACCACCCAGAGCCGGAAACUUAGUCAAACUUGGUCAUUUAGAGGAAGUAAAAGUCGUAACA